CGCUCACUUCCUCGAGCCCCACGCAACUCCACUUUCUCUUCGUUCCUCUCCUCCUUCUCGAUUCCCAGCGCGUGGCUGCCGCCGCUCAUCAUUCUCCCCUUCUCUCCCGUGCCACCAGGUCGCUGUUGCGUGAAUCCGGGCGGAUCCGGUCCCUAGGCGGCAUGAGGCUGCGGAUCCGACGAGGUCACGGCGGCGGCCGGCGGCUUUCUUGUUGUGCUCUCUGAGAGCCACGGGAGGAGAAGGAACAGAGGAGGGAGUGAUGCGGCAGGGCGGCGGUUGCUUCGCUGUUGUUUUUGGCCGUGGGGAGGCGUGCUGAACCUGCAGGCUCGACCCAGCAGGAGCGGCAGGUGCAGAGGCGCGUGCGAGGAGCGCCGUCGGCCCAUCGUUCUUUCUUCGUCAGGAAGGGCGCAGCCUGCUACUCAAGCCUCUCUCCUUCUCUCCUUCCAGAGCAGGAGAGGCACGGGCGCCCCCACACUGGAGAGAUGGACGAAGACAUGAAGCUUUCGCGGAGACGACGAGGUGGCCGAUGCUGCACCCCCAUGCCGUGCACACGAAGAUUCCCGUCCUCUCUGCCAUCGAUAACGACACUUCUCAUCGAUAACGGCACUUCUCGGCAGGCGCAGACCGCAUGGUCGUCUUCCUCUCUGGCCCAUCAGAUUCAGACCCUAUCCCUCUUCCUCUGCAUCUCUGUUAAAAUAUGCUCAGGUCAACUAGGAGAUGAUGCAAGCCAAGGCGCUCACAGUGAUUUAAGAUGUUUGCUCUAUGUUUGGUCAUAUUGUUCCUAGCGGUCUUGGAAGUAUCUUCAAGUCUUAAUAGAUGCAAUCCACGGUCCUGAGAUCGGCAAAGUUUGUGGCAUCAUUCUUCCUUAUGUAUUGCGUCUAAUUGCCUUUGGUCAUAAAUAGCAAGACACUGAUGGAGGAGCCGCCCAGCUCAUGCUGUGACUGUUCCAGCUUUCUGUGCUAAGAAAUCACUGACUGCCAGGAAAGGGAAGUGGACUGUGUGCCAGAGACGAUCGACGAGGCUCUCUGUCGCAGCUGUGUGCCUGAUCAACAAGCCAAAUAUUUCGAGUCUGCUUGCUAACGUGUCUGAAGAGAAGAUAUCAGUGAUGGUGGACCUGGUGAUGAGGGCAUCAAGACAAAGAGAUUAAUUCAAAACUUUGUUCUUGAUAGGUUGUCGCAUUCCUCGCAGAUUUACCACUCCUUCCCUCUCCUGGAAUCACUAAAUGAGAUCUUGGAAGCUAAUAGAGUUGAAGAAUCACAUGGUAAUGUACACACGAUGCAUUUCAUUUUCCCAAACACCUUCAGUGAACCUUGGCAUCUCCCCCCCACCCCAGCAGAACAUAUUACAAAGAUUGUGUAUGUAUGAUUGUCUUCAAACCUAGCCACUCUGAUUUGGCCUUUCUGAUCAUUUUGUUUAAUAGUCUCCAGUGCUUUGGUCGUUCGCUGUUAUGAUUCAAAUAUACCUUGGCUGUUGGACGUCCUAUUGAAAUGACACAAUCAUGCUUAUUUGUGUUGUGUCUGGAUUUUCAUGUAUGAGGACGCAUUUAAUCGAUGAUAUGAACACUCUUGCAGCUUAUCAGUGCUGGGAAGGAUCAAUUUAUAGUAUCUUCUGUAUACUUGCAUACCAUCCGUCCGUCAACUGAUGCGACGCUAAGAUGACGAGAACUAUCUUAAGGAUGUGUCGUUGUCUCUGCAAAGGGAGUUUUUGCUUGGUGCCUCACUUUCUAUUCGGAGAUGCAACGUCGUGUUUGCUCAGGCAGGUUUUUACCUUUUGUAUGGUCAUUGUUGCUUCAUGCUUUUCUCAGAGAGGGUUUUAUCUGUAGUGCCGUCUCUCCUCUUUGUAGUGCUGCUAUGCCGACUACCACUCGGUGGCUUUUUUUCCUAUUUCUUUUUUGCUUUCUUUUGGCAUGGUCGUGUUGUUGCCCCGACCAUCUUAUUUGCUUCGCUACUUUGGCCUGGUUGUAUGGAUGUUUGCUUUAUUUAUAAAGUUGGGUGAAAGUCUAUUUCGAGAAGGUUUUAUCUGUAGCCUGCAACCUUUGAGUGUUUCUUAACUACACUGAUUUGUAUGGCGAUAACCAAGUAACGAUGUAACAUUACUGUCAGGCAGUAGGAAAUUAGCUUCCUUUGUCGAGAAACUUGAGAUCUGAUUAAGUCCUGUCAGAUUGUCCUGUUCAUCUUCCUUAUGUUUUGCAGAUAAUUCAGGAGCAGCCAACAUUCUUUGUUUUGCUGACAGUAUGUGUGGGUGUGAAAAUGUGUAUGGUUUUAUGUUUUGAUAUACGCACAACCAGUAAGAUGUGUUCUUUGUUUUCAAGCUCAGUUGUGUGUUUCCUAUGCCUCUCUUAACGCUCAUUGUUACCAUGUGAUUGGUUCAGACUACAUAAUGCUAUGUAUGAACGUACCUAAAUCUAUUUCCUUAUGCUUCCAAGAUUUUAUGACCGGUCUCUAAAAUAUUCUUACUUGCAUGGUUUGAAUGCUUGGUUCACUCUUACCCUUCGUGCCAUCGGUGCAACGGGUCAUCUAGCAUGAACAAAGGGCAAGCAUAUGCUUUCGCCUUCAAAUGCACUUUCAAGGGACUCCGCCUGAUCGUUUACUCAAUAUAAGCAAGUUGCAAGAGCCCCUUGUUAUAUAACUUAGCAUUAGUAUAGAUGCCUAUCAAGACUUCUAUGUUUAUCAUCCUUUUAGAUCUUAUGUAAUCUCCUAAGACCAUCUUGUGCAUUUAACUGUCGGUUAUUUGUUGCUUAGACUGUUGCGUGGUAUGCUUUUGAAACAACCACCAUCUAUCUAUCAUCAAUCCGUACUUAUUUUCAUA